rnacentral:misc_RNA from 1 species
AAGUCGUAACAAGGUCUCCGUAGGUGAACCUGCGGAGGGAUCAUUACAGAGUUCGUGCCCCUAUGGGUAGAUCUCCCACCCUGUGUUAUUCAACCAUUGUUGCUCUGGCGGGUCCCGAGCUCACCCUUGGCCCGCCAGAGGAAAACCCAACCCUGAAUGUCAGUGUCGUCUGAGUACUAUAUAAAUAGUUAAAAA